rnacentral:lncRNA from 1 species
AAACACUUGCACAAGGUGAUGAAGAAGAAGAAGAAGAAGAAGAAGAAGAAGAAGAAGAAGAAGAAGAAGAAGAUGAUGAUGAUGAUGAUGAAGAUGAUGAAGAAGAAGAUGAAGAUGAUGAUGACGAUGAAGAAGAAAAUGAUGAUGAUGAUGAAGAAGAUGAAGAUGAAGAUGAAGAUCAUGAUGACGAUGAUUGAAUGUUCGACUAUUUUACAUAUUGUAGCAAAUUGACUACCUUAACUUUUUUAUGCAAUAAUUUGAAAUUCACUUUAAUUUGUAGCGAUCCAUCCUUAGUGUUUUCUAUUGCUUCACUUUAUUUGUACAUAUAUUCAAUGCAGUAAUGACAGGAGAAGGUAAAGACCGUCCUGAUAAAGGAAAGGGGAUAGCCAAGCCUAAAAAAAGGCAACGGACCGCAAAGUAUGUACUUAGGGUGCGUGAUGCACUACCUACCCCUACUCCUGCAGUACACCCUCCCCCUACUCAUACAGUAAACCCUCCUCCUCCUACCCCUGCAGUACACCCUCCUCCUCCUACCCCUGCAGUA